CGGCGCACGGGUGAGUAACGCGUAUGCAACCUACCUUUUACAGGGGAAUAGCCCAGAGAAAUUUGGAUUAAUACCCCAUAUUAUCUUUUAUUCGCAUGAAUUAGAGAUGAAAGUUUCGACGGUAAAAGAUGGGCAUGCGUCCUAUUAGUUUGUUGGUAAGGUAAUGGCUUACCAAGACUUCGAUAGGUAGGGGCCCUGAGAGGGGGACCCCCCACACUGGUACUGAGACACGGACCAGACUCCUACGGGAGGCAGCAGUGAGGAAUAUUGGACAAUGGAGGAAACUCUGAUCCAGCCAUGCCGCGUGCAGGAUGAAUGCCCUAUGGGUUGUAAACUGCUUUUAUACAGGAAGAAACAUUUCCACGUGUGGGAACUUGACGGUACUGUAAGAAUAAGGAUCGGCUAACUCCGUGCCAGCAGCCGCGGUAAUACGGAGGAUCCAAGCGUUAUCCGGAAUUAUUGGGUUUAAAGGGUCCGUAGGUGGUUAUUUAAGUCAGAGGUGAAAUCCUGCCGCUUAACGGUAGAACUGCCUAUGAUACUGAUUAACUUGAGUUAUUGUGAAGUAGUUAGAAUAUGUAGUGUAGCGGUGAAAUGCAUAGAUAUUACAUAGAAUACCGAUUGCGAAGGCAGAUUACUAACAAUAUACUGACACUGAGGGACGAAAGCGUGGGUAGCGAACAGGAUUAGAUACCCUGGUAGU
rnacentral:rRNA from 1 species